rnacentral:rRNA from 1 species
UGCUUUAGAGGAUAAAGCGGAGGUAUUCGGGGAGACAGGUGGUGCAUGGUUGUCGUCAGCUCGUGUCGUGAGAUGUUGGGUUAAGUCCCGCAACGAGCGCAACCCUACUUGCUAGUUACCAUCAUUAAGUUGGGGACUCUAGCGAGACUGCCAGUGAUAAACUGGAGGAAGGUGGGGAUGACGUCAAAUCAUCAUGCCCCUUAUGACCUGGGCUACAAACGUGAUACAAUGGCUGGAACAAAGGGAUGCGAAGCAGUGAUGUGGAGCGAAACCCAUAAAAACAGUCUCAGUUCGGAUUGAAGUCUGCAACUCGACUUCAUGAAGUCGGAAUCGCUAGUAAUCGCGGAUCAGAACGCCGCGGUGAAUACGUUCUCGGGGUUU